AGUGAACGCUGGCGGCAGGCCUAAUACAUGCAAGUCGAACGGCAGCACGGCAGAGCUUGCUCUGUGGGUGGCGAGUGGCGGACGGGUGAGGAAUACAUGGGAAUCUGCCCAGUCGUGGGGGAUAACGUAGGGAAACUUACGCUAAUACCGCAUGCGCCCUUCGGGGGAAAGCCGGGGACCUUCGGGCCUGGCGCGAUUGGAUGAGCCCAUGUCGGAUUAGCUAGUUGGCGGGGUAAUGGCCCACCAAGGCGACGAUCCGUAGCUGGUCUGAGAGGAUGAUCAGCCACACUGGAACUGAGACACGGUCCAGACUCCUACGGGAGGCAGCAGUAGGGAAUAUUGGACAAUGGGCGCAAGCCUGAUCCAGCCAUGCCGCGUGAGUGAAGAAGGCCCUCGGGUUGUAAAGCUCUUUUGUCCGGAAAGAAAAGCGCCGGGUUAAUACCCUGGUGUCCUGACGGUACCGGAAGAAUAAGCACCGGCUAACUUCGUG
rnacentral:rRNA from 1 species